rnacentral:rRNA from 1 species
UACGUAGGGGGCAAGCGUUUGUCCGGAAUCAUUGGGCGUAAAGCGCGCGUAGGCGGCCCGGUAAGUCCGCUGUAAAAGUCCAGGGCUCAACCCUGGAAAGCCGGUGGAUACUGUCGGGCUAGAGUCCGGAAGAGGCGAGUGGAAUUCCUGGUGUAGCGGUGGAAUGCGUAGAUAUCGGGGGGAACAUCAGUGGCGAAAGCGGCACCCUGGCAUUUGCCUGACGCUCAUGUGCGAAAGCGUGGGGAGCAAACAGG